ensembl:antisense Gm30332 predicted gene, 30332
GGUCUUCCCUCCUGAGAAGUAAGCAAUAAAAGCUUUGCCGCAGAAGAUUCCGGUUGUCCUGAGUGUGUUCUUGCCGGAGGGGACAAAAACUCGGGAUAGAAGUGGAUCUACCAUACCUCUCCUGGUCAACUGAAGGACUCCAUGUCAACAAAUCAGAGACACCUGCUUAGCAAUGUUUCCUGCAACUUUAGUGAAAACAGCUAAGUUGUGGAAACAACCUAGAUUGCUGUUCAGACAACAGAACAACAGGUCAAGAAAAUGUGGCAAAUACAAAGAAUGGAAUUUUUUCAACCAUAAAGAAGAAUGAAGUUCUGUCAUUUGCAAGACAAUUAAAUGAAUUAAGCUGGCCCCACAAAGAAUCACAGAAACAAAACUGAGACUGCUAGCGAAUGCACCUGUGAACGUCACAAGUGACCAGCAUGACACCUCAGGUGCUAGUCUGCAGUGCAAUUUGCAUGUUGGAGUGAAUCAAUAUAGUUUUAACAGAAGAAGAAUCAGAAGAAAAAUUCAAGGGCCAUGUAAAAUGUUCUCUGGUGAUUAUACAUGGAAACGGCUGCAGAAGCCCCAAUCGGUCUUAUAAAUGACAUUCUAGUACAGGAAGGACAGACAGAACUAAUAACUGAACAUCAGGAACUGCUGGUCACACCGUUGCCUUCCAAGAUCAGUGCCUUUAGCCAGUCAUCAGCAGAGAAGCUUCCUCUUGCAGCAAAUGGGAACAGAUGUAGACCCACAGACAGUUGCAAAGAAGAGUUGAGAAGGUGCCACUGGGAAAAAGUACUGAAUUACACUGGACUCUGAUCCAAAGGUGACACACUAGAAGAGACUUUGUGUAUAUUCUUGGAUGACAAGAAUGAGAACCAUGACAAGAGCAUGGGUUUUUUGGGGGUAGAAUUCUGUCAGAAAAAAAUAUUAAGACAAUGAAUCCAUGGAUAGUGAGGAAGAGAUUUUAAAUCUCUUCCUAGAUAUUGUAAACUGUCCUAGGUGAAAUACCGGUGGUGGACUCUUUUCCCACCAGGUCUUUGUACUCACACAUAUCAUGAGCAACACGUGAGUUCAGACAGUCGUUUUCGCUGCAACUGAUCUUCAUGCCUGACUGAGAGAUGCUUCUACUUCACGUAGUUUCCCUCACUUCUCUUCCCUCUUUGCUCUAAGACUCUUUGUGGAUGGGAAUUCGUAGGAUCUCCAGGGUUUGUCUUCCUAGGUUCUAGGGAAUGUGGAGGAUCAAUUUAGGCUUAUGUCCAGGCAUAAAGCAAUCAUCUCUGAUUCGCAGGGGUUGUUACUUUAAGCAGUUGUAGUGGUGUAUAAUUAGCAUCCACUGUACUGAAAAUAUUUCAAGUCUGUACCUGGCAAAUUUGUGAAAACCUCAGUAUGUGCAAGAAAAUUGAGUAUUCACUACUGCUCAAGUUCCCUGCAAUCUCUUGGAAUCCUUCAUAUUCACACUUCCUUCUCUGUACCUACGUUUGAAAACAGCUACUCUAACUAUAGAAUAAUUACUAAUAGGGGUUUUCAAUAAAUGAAGCCUCAAUGAACAUCCUAUCUUAUCUGACUUCUUUGGCUCUGCAUGAUUGAUUUGUAUGUUUCCAUGUUUUUUUCUUCUCUUGUUAUUGACUGGUAGUCCAUUUCUUGUUAAACUCAAGUCCAUGUAUCCAUUCAUAAAUAUCGUUAAUAAGUAUUUAUGUAAGCUCCUGGUUUGGGCUAUUCCAAAUGAAGAUGUCACUGAGAUUUUUCAUGCACACGUACUUUGAUUUUUAGAUCUUUUCCAAGUAUUAUGAGACAUACAUUGCCAUAUCUUGCAAUUGCUAACAUAAGAAGCUCGUUCACAUCAAGAACCGACAGUGUUAUGGAAUGAGCAGUAAUUGUCUUUCUCUCUGUACGAAUGUCACACAUCCACAACCAAUUUAGAAAUUUGUCAGGAAGUAUUGAAUUAGCCUGCCUUUGCAUUGUGUUGUGUUAGAAUCCUUGAUUUCAAAAACAGCUGUUUGAGUUGCUGACUUGAGUUUUAUAAAAGAAACACUAAAUGAAUUUUGGCUUGAAAUUAGAACACAAUUUUCAACAAUUUCUGAAAUGGUCCUAAACAUCUGUCUGCCAUUUUGUACUGAACAUUUAUGCCAAGUGUGCUCUCAGCAGCCGUGAUUCUACAGUCUGAGUAUUGAUUACCCCUGUAAAAAGGUUGAAGAUGCUCUAUGCCCUGCAGUGUGUUCUGCCAAAUUCAAUUCCUCCUGUAAAAAUAAACCAGAAUAGUCCUCCCAUUAUUAUAAAAUUUUAAUUUAAUCAUUGAUAAAUUUUAAAAUUAUAUGUAAACCAAAGAAUUGUUUUAAAAUAAAGUUUGAAAUAAUUUAAUAUC